rnacentral:piRNA from 1 species
UCCACAAAUAAUGGUGUCUGAGUCACAUGU